CUGCCCCGGGUGGGAAUGAGGGCUUGCCAGGCACAGACCCCCCGUGCAGAAGCAGCCGGGAGACCAGGCGGGGAGAGGAGGAGGAGGGAGGUCACCCCACAGGGGCACUGCGCGGGCAAAGCUGGACUGCCCAGCUCCACUCCCCACCUGGGCCUGGGACGCGGCUCCCUCCCAAGACCCAGCCAAAGGCCACCUCUGCCAGGAAGCCUUCCCUGGCUGCCCGCUCCUCCCUCCCACUCUCCCCCAGACACAGCCUGGCCCUGGUGGACAAUCCCACCACAGCAGCCUCCUGUGUUCCCAGGGUGGCCUGAACUCCCAACACCGGCCAGACGCCGCCGGCGUAGCAGACUGGGCGAGAGCAGGCACGCCUGCAGACUCCACCGCGCACGUCUGCUUCCCUGGAUGAAACACAAAAGGCGCGCAGCCCCCAGCCCUCCCGCUGACCCAGCCGCGGCCACGGCUACCGUACCUGCCAGCAGGGCGGGCAGCGGGCCGAGACCCCCGGGAGCCGGGGGCCGCCUGCAUUCCUCUCCGAGUGCUCUCUCCACUGCCUGUGCCGUGAGGUCCGGCUGCUCCUACAGAAACACGACGCUGCCGCUCUGUGCCUGGGGGCCGCCGUGGGGCUCACUGCUGCCUUGGCCAGCCUGCUGCCCCGGGAGCCCUUCCAGCUCCGUGUGCAAGGAAGCCGAGACAAUGGGGAGAAGCGGCCCAGACGGGGCCGGAUUCCACCGCGUGCUCACGACCCUCAUGCUCGGCCACCCGAGCCGGGCAUCGCAGGCCGCAGCCCUCCCGGGGCCAGAGCUGGCACGUCGGCCUUAGUGGGGGCCACGAUCUGUUCGGCCAGAGAAACGGGGGCCGGGGGCAGACACGGGGCCUUGUGGAGCUGGCCCAGGGCGCCAGAGCCUCCCCGAGAGCUGGCGUCUCUGACUUCCCCCGGAGCCCGGCCUCUGUCCUGCUCAGUGCUGGAUGCACAAGGAGGCUGAGGAUCCAACGCGAAGGCGACCGAGAACUGUGCGCUGCGAGAUCAGUGUCACGUGUCUGCUGGGUUCCAGACACGCUUUGCACGUCCGCUGAUGAUGUACACGCCAAUGGCACACGUGCUGGGUUCCACACACCCUUUCCAUCUCUGUCCCUGGUUCACACGCCAAUGGCACACACGCCUGGGGCUGCCUCUCCCUCCCCCAGAGGGCAAACAGGCGGAAGGAAGCCGAGCCU